CCGACGAAGGAGACAGCGCGGUAGGGUGCCCUCCGCGUGGCCGUUGAUGUUUAGUUUGAAACGAAACGGAACAGUUUGCAAGUCGCCGGCUUUGCGCAUGGCCGACUCACGCAGACGGUCUGUUGUGCUCAAUUCGUGAAUUUAUUUUAACAAUUCUGGAACUGUUUUCUAAUUUCAAUUAGACAGUGCCUUAUUAUUAAUGGAUGUGCUAGUGUAUGCAUGGAAUAACAAUCUUCAGGAGAACAGCGUCCAUGAAGAAUAAUUGCGUGUGGAUUUAUUGAUGCAUCUUGCAUUAGUGUCCUUUUGGACACGAAUAGAAUAACAUGCAUUCCAUAUUUUUAGACGAACAAUCGAAACUAAACUCACAAAGUGAUUUAUAAAAGUGCUCUUAUAAUACUAAUAAGUAAAAAUAUUUAAAAUAUAUUACAAUAAAUCGUUAUAUUUUUUAAUGUUUAUCUUUUGGAAUCUGCCUUGCCAUUAUUGCCACCACGACAUCCUCUAAGGUAUUCUACGUAUAUCAAGAUGAUACAAAGCAUUAGGUAAGACGUGUUCUUUCAUCGCAUCGCACAAAUGGGUAUUUAUAAAUUAAUCAUAUUCCAGUUUAUAUUUAGACUGGUUAUAAAUUACCACCAAAUUUGUCUAAACGAUUACUCAGUAACAGCGGUGAGACGGGUUAGAAGAUAAAUUUUCACUUAGAGCCAGAUUUAAAAAUGAUCUGUAUGUUCUGAUACGUGGGUUCAAAUUGAUUUGGCGUGAUACGUAAUAUAAAACAGAAGCGUGGCCAUUUAUUUAGUGUCCCGCAUCCAAUUACAAUCGUAAUGGUUUGUAGCUACUGUCUACUGUCAGUGACAUUUGUUGGGGCUGCAUAUCACACUGUCACGAACAAUAAAAGAUGGAGAAAGUGAUUUUUAAUUUAUUUUUAUUAGAACUCUGUAAUAUGUCGCUUUGAAGCCAACGUACCUGAUAUAUAAGCCUAAACGGCGUAAUUUUGUGUGAGAUGAAAAUGGUAUAGCGAUCUAGCCUGCGGUAUCGGUAUACACUGGCUGACCAGUAAGAGGUUGAUGGCUGAUGAACAUAAAAUCGAGUCAGUUGGAAAAUCGUGAUAAAUUCAUCAGAAAUUACCCACGAUGGUUUCAAUGGGAGCCACGUAGCAGUUGACCUGACAAAAAUAAUAACAAUUGCUAGCAAAGUGACUGUUAGACUCCAUUACUAACAAUUUUCUUCCCUUUCUGAAAUGCGUAGAUGUGACCUUUCAGCGAUGAGAUGUUAUUGCACGAGUCCUGUGAAGUUGUCGGGGCCUUUCUGCGCUUUUGUAUGGAGGUAGGAUGACUAUGUCAUCUAUAUGCUAAAUGACUCAUUUCGGAAAAUAUAGUACGUUAUGAUUCUGUUAAAUUAUAUCAAAUUAACAAGGCAAAGAUGAAAAACAAUUUUUACGAAGUUUUUGUAAAUUUUGAACAUUUUGGUCUAUAUAUAUAAUAAAUUGGACAUAAUAUAUAUUUAUUUUAUAGAAUAGAUGAAUACAAACGUAUCUUACAAAAUUCUCAAUAUGAUUAUAUCGUAAUAUUGUAAUUUACUUUUUGAAUUACCGAAAUUCUAAAAAUGAAUAUUUUGACUAGAUAAUUUUUCUAUAUUAAAUACUAGAGAUAAGGCCCGACCUCGUACAGUUAGAUAGAAUUUUUGAAAUAUUCAACAUAUUUAAUUGUAAAUAAUAUGUAAUAAAUGUUAUAAUAUGUAAUAAAAUUUAAUUUCUGACUUUAUUCAUUACAAAAAAACAAUCAAAUUUUAUUUAUUAAUAUAUAUCAUAUGAUCAUGAUAAUUUUUAGUUAUGAAUAUAGACCACGAGUCAUAUUGAAAUUUGAAUUCUGUAACUCAGACAGGACGUGAGUAAUCAACAAUAGUAAUUAAUUACUAAGAUAUGAGUAAAGCUGAUAUAAAUGAUAUAUAAAUUAUCUGUAUUUUACAGGAUAUACAAAGUUUUUUCUUUUUAAUUUAAUAUAAAGGCACAAUCACAAUUCACAAUAAGUAUUAAUUUAAUAAUAUAUAUUACGUGAUGUAAUUUAUGGUAAGCCAUAGUUUAAAGAGUUAUUAAUUUAAUUUAUUUUUGUUUAAAAAACUUAUAAAUUGACGUUGCGUCGUGGUCUCUAGUGUAGACUGUCUCGUAUUGGAUUGGUUAUUAACCGAAUUUAAAAAUAAGGAGGUUCUUAAUUCGAUUGUAUUUCUUUUCAUGUUUGUUACCUCAUUAGUUGUAAACCAAUUUGGUAAAAUUCUGUUUUUUAUUUAGAAGGAUAUUCAUAUAGAUGCCAUAGCAUUUUUUUUUU